UACGGAGGGUGCAAGCGUUGUCCGGAAUCACUGGGCGUAAAGGGCGCGUAGGCGGCCUGGUAAGUAGGGGUGAAAUCCUGCGGCUUAACCGCAGGGCUGCCUUCUAAACUGUCAGGCUUGAGCACGGUAGAGGCAGAUGGAAUUCCCGGUGUAGCGGUGGAAUGCGUAGAGAUCGGGAAGAACAUCAGUGGCGAAGGCGGUC
rnacentral:rRNA from 1 species